rnacentral:sRNA from 1 species
UGCCGGUUUGGCGGGGUUGACGCCCCCCUU